rnacentral:rRNA from 1 species
CAGUAGCCGCGGUAACACGAACCGUGCGAACGUUAUUCGGAAUUACUGGGCGUAAAGGGCGCGUAGGCGGCACAUACAGUCAGAUGUGAAAUUCCUGGGCUUAACCUGAGGGCUACAUUUGAUACGUAUGAGCUAGAGUGGGGAAGAGGGUUGUGGAAUUCCCAGUGUAGAGGUGAAAUUCGUAGAUAUUGGGAAGAACACCGGUGGCGAAGGCGGCAACCUGGUCCUUGACUGACGCUGAGGCGCGAAAGCGUGGGGAGCAAACAGGAUUAGAUACCCGGGUAGUCCCUGUCUCUUAUAC